rnacentral:rRNA from 1 species
AUACGGAGGAUGCGAGCGUUAUCCGGAUUUAUUAGGUUUAAAGGGUGUGUAGGCGGUAUUUUAAGUCAGUGGUGAAAUCUCGGAGCUUAACUUCGAAACUGCCAUUGAUACUGGAAUACUUGAGUAUAGUUGAGGUAGGCGGAAUAUGUAAUGUAGCGGUGAAAUGCAUAGAUAUUACAUAGAACACCGAUUGCGAAGGCAGCUUACUAAACUAUUACUGAUGCUGAUGCACGAAAGCGUGGGGAGCGAACAGGAUUAGAAACCCUUGUAGUCC